GGUAGGAAGGUGGGUAUUUUCAUUUUUCUUUAGCUAUUUUGUUUCAAGUUUGCUUAUCUUUAUUUACCUUGGCAAAAAGCGGUAGUUCGUUUAAAUAACCUAUUUUCUUCCAGGCAAAACUUUUUUACUUUUUCAGAACGUUUUUAAUAGUCUUGUGUAAACGUUAAUUAAUCUUGAAUGUAUAACCAUCAAUUUAUAUUGUAUAAUUUAAAAAAUUAAGGAUAUCGACGCGACACGACAAAUUUUCAAUUUCCCGCUCUUUGUCUAUAAUCAAAAACAUAUAAUCGAGAUUUAUCAGUAAAAUUUUUAUCUUAUCUACUAUCUAAAGGCGAAAAAUUGACCUAUCCACAGGAUACAGAAUACUUCAGUCUUAACCAGGCAAUAUCGAGCCUUCUCGCGACUGCAUCUUCCCGCACAUCUUAUAACUUUCCCCGUCUAUGAAAACGUGCGCAGAGCCCUCAUUGGCGUGAUACACUUUCCCGCCUCGACCGGUACGAGAACAAAUUAAUUUAUCAUUUCGUAGUGUUACGGUUAACAGCAUUCUGGAGAAAUAAUGGCCAGUAAUAAAGGCACGUAGCAAGCCUAAGGAACUCCUGUGUACCUACGAAGAGAGUUAAAGAGAGAGAAAAGAUCAUCCGGGGGGGGAAACGACGAGAAAAGUGCGAGCGAGGCGAAGCGAGGAAAGUGCGUAAAUCGGAGCGAGAACGAGAAUAUAAAAGACAGGUAGACAAGGAGAGAAGAUAUACGAACCGCGAUGCGCAUGCGCGCAGCAUGGGUGUAUCUUCAACCACCCUUUCCAGUUACCCCCACCCGUUCAACGGACUCGCCUGUUUUCCUCGUCGCUCGUCCCUCGUCCACUGCUCGAUUCAGUCACCGGGCCGUUUCGCGAGAGGAGAGUUUCCGCGCCUUUUCUCUCCGUGUCUCUAGCUUUUUCCUCGUUCCAUAGUCGUGCGGAAGUUGUGGAUUUUUUUACAUCUGCGUGUAGACAACGAUUGAAAAAAAUUUAUCAAGGGACGAGUAAUAGUGCGCGAGUUUAUGUGUAUCGUUUUCCAACCAAAUCUGACGAGUGGCCCACUUUCGGUACGGUCACAUGUGUGCAUCGUGUCAUCGCGAAAUGUCAUCGGCAUGAGAAUAUUCCCGACAUUAUAGCCAGUAGAUUUGCUGAGCGUCGAGUGUGUGUUCUCGAACGAAAUCCGAAUUGAGGUUAAGUUCAGUGUGGUUCGCGGCACUCGUGCGAACUGCUGUUUCGACGCUAUUACGAUUUUAAAACAGCGAUGUUUUAGAAGAUUUAUGACGCCCCGUGUGAACGAAAAUUACAGAUCUGUAGAAAAAAUCGUGGAUGGAGUAUGAAUCUGAUGCGCAGCGAGUACGGAACAGACAUAAAAUUGACGUUCUUUACGAGGAUCGCUGCUAAUUCGUGACAUUGACGAUCGAUCGAGUGGCGCUAUCGACUGGAGGGAUUUUUUUCCUUUUCGACGUACUUGCAUAGGACGCGUGUCGCGUGAUAUUGAAAUGAGGUUGCAUUAAUUUAAGUGUGAAUGUGUUCGUUGAGUAAAGAGUGUGAUGUUUACGUGACAGCCGGUUAGAAACAACCGCGUGAGAGCGUGGCGGGAAUUUCGAACGUGUAGUUUCUUAAUGAUGCAACGUGGCUCGCGACGCUAUGCUAGUAUGACAUCGAUAUAUCGAAAACGUUGACGGUGUAUCCGAUACGGUAUCGAUAGUGUACACGAAGUGAAGUGGGCUUUGGCGCGUAAACGCGUUCUCUUGAUUACGUUACAUAAUUAAUUAAUCAUACCAUCGUCAGUAGUUCACAAACGUUGCAUAAUUAAGUGAAGCCGCCAGAAGUCGGGACAUGUUACUGAAUACCACAUCUUAAAGAAAUGAUAACCCUGGACGGAGGUUGCCGGUCGGAAGUGAGGAAGAUGCAACUCGGUUAUAAGAGUGUUCUGUGACAGCAAUUACCGUGACAUGAAGUGAAGGAACGGGCCGUUUAAAGAGACUGUGCAAAAUCCUGGAAGGCCACCGCAAAGAAGCAAGAUUUCGAAAUUUGUCCGCGUGGUGGAACGUCGACCCGAGUAGUGGGUGAGUGAAGUUUUCAAAUUUUUUUCAAGACGCGCGCCAUCCUCUUAACGAUAAUUGGCUCUUAGAGAAAUCCUAUCUCAACACAUCCGAUGAUCCUCGAAUUAACGAAAUAUCGGCAAAUACUUGGUUACAGUAAAAAAAAAAAAUAAUCACAGGAAUAGAUCACACACGCGUAUAAAUUAUUCCAAUUAUUAUUUAAACGAGAAGCACGACAAAUUAGGUAGAAACAGCAAGAUAUCAAAUAAAGCGAUGAUAAAAAUUGUACUUUUAUAAGAUUUCACUUUUAAGAAUCGUUGUAAAGCUUCGAUUUUGAAACUAAUAGCUUCGAUUGGAAAAUGAUUCUGACGAAGAAAUUUAAUUCAAACGCGUGAAAGUUAGAAGGUUGAAAAAGUUAACUUUAUCUCUCGAUAUAAUAAGUUCGCAUAUAAAGUUUCAUAUCACCUUUAUUUCCAGGAGAAAUUGAACAAAUUCGAGCCUUCAUUCGAUAUCCAGAAGAUUCCAUCAGAGAA
rnacentral:lncRNA from 1 species